rnacentral:lncRNA from 1 species
UUCCAACCACCAAAUCAAAGCUUUUUUCCCCAAUUUAGGUCAUCCUUUUUUAUGCUUAAGCUCUCUAAACAUAAAACCUCAUUUCAAUUUUGAAGAGUACUCAUGUUUUCAACCUCAAUUUCUCUAAAGUUCUUUACACGUUCAAAGCUCGAAUCAGCUCCAUAGCUCAUCAAUUUUGCAAAAUUGAGGUGAGAUUCUAACUUUUUAUGAUUAAACUAAGUGGGUUGUUAUUUAUAUUUAAGAUUUAAAUGAUUUAAUCAAUAUUUCAAUAUAUCAAUUUAUUUUUAGUUGAUUUUUGGAUUAAAAAUGGUAGAUAUCGUAUUUCUUGGCUAAGCUUUGGCUUUAAAGUGAUUUCUAGCUCAUUUUGAUAUAAUUAAAAGGUAUUUUAUCUUAAUUUAAAAAAUCCUUAAUGAAUUUAAGCAAAUUGAAUGUAAGCUUAUUUUUUGAAAAAAAUUAGAUCAGUAAAAUUGGAUGAAAUUGAUGGUUUGGAUAUGUAAUUAGAUGAUAUUUAGGAAUAUUAGAAUCAAAAUUAAGGCUUAGAGAUCAAGUUUGAGUGGUAAAACACCUAUUUCGGUAAAACCAGUUAAACUUUCGGUAUGAGAAAAGUGAGCUUCGAAUGGUGAUUUUGCUACUGGUUUUUUUAGUUUAAGGCUGAUAAUUAUGAUUUUAUAUUGUAUUUAAUGUGUAUGCAAUGUUUCAGAUUCAUCGAGAGAUUUCACGAGCAAUGUGAAAGGGUAAUAAAAGUUUGUUUGACAUUGUUUUGCAAGAUGUAUUGACUAAGGUGAGUGGUUUGGUAUACUACAUUGAAACUCUAGUACACAGGCUAAGGUAGCAUAUGCAAAUCCUCUGCUUAAUUAAUAUGUGAACCUUGACUUCUUCAUUAUGCAAAUCCUUAUAAUUUUGGUUAAAUUGUUGAGUAUAUAUACUAUGUGAUUUUAAUGGUGCAAAAUGCAUGAACUUAUAAUAUAUAUACAUUGACUUUAUUUUGUAUACAAUAUAUAUUAGGUGUUAUAUAUAUAAUAUCAACGAGGGAGCUGGUAAUAUAUAUAUAUAUGCGUGAGAUUGGAGUCAUAUAUAAUAUAUAUGAGUGCUUUGGUGCUAAGUAAUAUAUAUGCAUCUUAUAUAUAUUAUAUAUAUGUGUUGGUUGUAAUAUAAAUAUAUACACGUGGGUGGUUAUACAUAUAUUAUAUAUGUGCAUGACUUUAUCUUAUAUAAUAUAUAUGCAUGUCUUUAUUUUACCUAAUAUAUAUUAAUGGAUUUUGGUAUUAUAAUAUAAUAUAAUAUAAUAUAAUAUAAUAUAAUAUAUACGCAUGGUUCAAUAUAUAUAAUUACGAGAAUGGUUUUUAUAAUAUAUAAAUUUAUGAGUGUAUGUUUAAAAUUUGAAGUGGCAAAGGUCAUUAAAUAAAUAUGUAUAUAUAUAAUAUAUAUUCCUAUAUGAUUUUGUAAUAUGUAUGAACGGAUAUAUGAAUAAAUAAUAUAAUGUGGACUCUUAUAAUAUGCAAAUUUUAUCAAUAAUGUAUAUCUAUGCAUGCACAAAUCCGUAAGUGAAUUAUGAUAUUUAUGAUAUUGCGAGCCAAUUAUAUUUGUGUAUUGUGUUAUAUUGUGAACCAUGUUAACCUGACGAAUUAUAUUAUUAUAACGAACUGUGUUAAUUUGGUAAUCUGUAUUAAUAUGGCAAACUGCAUUAAUUUGUCAAAAUGUGUAUUGGGAGAUUUUGAGCUACAUUGCAUGCAAGCUAAGGUAUUGUGUGCCCUAUGCUAAAUAAAAUAUGCGAAAAAUGAUUUAUGUGUGCUAAAUCAUGAGUGAUAUGUGAACUGUGUUAUAUGUGCAAUAUAUGUUGCAUAAAAGUGACAUUAUUUGCGAACCAUGGUCUAUUGCGAAUUGUGACUUGCACACUAUGUUAUAAUGUGCGAGCUCUACUUAACUGCGAGCCCUAUUAUACUGAAUAUUUUGAAUAUGUUAAAGAGAUAUUUUGAAAUUGUGACCUUAUGGAACCAUUGUAUAUAGUUGGCAUGCUAUAGGAUUGUGAGCACUCACCCUUUUUUAUUGCGAUGGACAUUGUGGCUUGGAGAUGUGUGGGAGAGAUAAAGGAAUGUCGAGCAUGGCUCCAUUCACUUUAGAUAGCGUGGUGUGAUUGGAGAGUGUGAGCAUACGUGCUACACUUACAUGGAGUUAGCUUACAACUUUAUGAGUCAUGUGGUGUGUUUCGGACAUCCGUUUAUCCAAUGUGUGGUGAUAAAGUCCACUUAUAGGUGGUGACAAAGUCCCCUAUAAGUUUCAUAAUCAAAAAAAUGCAAAAUUUAUCAGUAUUUUAGAUAUAUGAGUUAUGAUGGAGCAUGAACUUUUAUUUCGCAUGAAGUGUUAUUCGAUAUGAACUGAUAUUUCAUAUGAACUAUUAUUUUGCAUGAGUUGUCGUUUGGUAAGAACUGUUAUUUCAUAUGAACAGAUGUUUGGUGCGAAUUGAUAGUUUAUGUGAUUUCUCCAUUUUGUGCGAAUUACUUAUUAUUUGUGCACUGCUUAUUGUAUGAGAAUUGUUGUGUUGUGUAAGUUACUAUUUUGUGUAAACUGCAAUAAUAUGUGAACUGUUAUUGUUUGUCACCUUUUAACCUAAUUGAUGUGUUUAUUUGUAGUAUGUUUGAGCACUCAUUGAGCUUUCAUAAGCUCACCCACUCUUUUAUAAUAUUGCAGUAACUUACCUUGUGAAGAGGUGUGGGAGUGAGUCAUCCAAGUGAUUCAAAUCGAGGCUAUAUCUAGGAACAUCAUUAUGUUCCCAAGCCUAAUGAGGAAGGCAAUGUGGGACUAAGUUAUGGGAUUUAGUAUUAGACUUAUAAUUUUCGGGUUGUAAUGGGACACUGUGAACUAUUUAAUUGUUUGGUUUAAAACUUUUAUCAUUGCGUUAGAUAGAUGAUUGAAUGAUGGAUUAUGAUUGUUUGAUAAUUUGUUUGAAUAAUUCUUAGACUAACUUGUAAGUGCAGGUUGAAGAGUUGUUGGUCAUCGAGGUAAGCCUUAGAUGUUUUAUGUGUGAUUUAGAUACAAACAUGUGCUUGGUAUGCAUGAGAUGUAACACAAAAUUUGGUCAAGUUAUGUAAACUGUUAAAUGUCUACUAACUAAUUAAUUUAUAAUGUUAUGAGGUUGUGCGAGAUGCUUUAAUAAAUUUUCCAAAAAUAAGACUUAUACGUUAAAUCCUACAAUCCUAUUACUAAAAUUUGUGAAAUGGAAUCUUUCCCAACAUAUUACUAUUCAUUACGUUUUAAAUCUAGUUAUAUGUUUUUAAACUAAACAGUUUUUUUCCAAGUCCCUACAAAUACAAUAUUUUAAAAAUAUUGUACUGCAUGAAUGUAUGUUUAACUAAAGUUUUCUAGGUAAUUGUCUAUUAAGUAUUAAAUUGUGAAUUAGUCUUGUUGUUGAUUGUUGAUCAGAGCAACACAACGGAAGCAUGAUAUUAGGUUUUUAUUAAAUAUUUCAUGAUUAAUUGUGUGGUGUGAUUGGUCGAUUGGUGUGCAUUGUGGUGGUUUUAAAUGGAGAGUCACUUCUGCGACUAAUGUGACAUUUGAAAUUUGGGUCGGACCGUUCCGGCUGAGUUUGGGGCACCACAUCAAAGCCCUAUUUUGAGAUGUUACAAACAUGUUUGUCAAAGCAGCUACGAAAGAAAUAUAUCUCACUUGGCAUUGCAAAAUGUAAAUCAAAAGAUCCACUUGUCAUUGCCACUUGUCAAGACAUUUGUUGCAAACAAAAAAAAAAUUAUAGGAGUAAAAUUUAAAUUUCAAAAGACUACAUGAACCUUUUCAUGUUUAAAUGAAAAG